AACGCACAUUGCGCCCGCCAGUAUUCUGGCGGGCAUGCCUGUUCGAGCGUCAUUUCCACCAUCAGGCCCCCGGGCCUGUGUUGGGGACCUGCGGCUGCCCGCAGGCCCCGAAAUUCAGUGGCGGUCGCGCCGUAGCAACCGAGCGUAGUAACUAAAACGUCUCGCUCUGGCUCGCUGGGCGCGCUCCGGCCGUAAAACACCCCCCCUUUUCGCAAAGGUUGACCUCGGAUCAGGUAGGAAUACCCGCUGAACUUAA
rnacentral:misc_RNA from 3 species